CCUACGGGAGGCAGCAGUGAGGAAUAUUGGUCAAUGGACGAGAGUCUGAACCAGCCAAGUAGCGUGAAGGAUGACUGCCCUAUGGGUUGUAAACUUCUUUUAUAAAGGAAUAAAACGACGCACGUGAGCCUGUUUGCAUGUACUUUAUGAAUAAGGAUCGGCUAACUCCGUGCCAGCAGCCGCGGUAAUACGGAGGAUCCGAGCGUUAUCCGGAUUUAUUGGGUUUAAAGGGAGCGUAGAUGGGUUGUUAAGUCAGUUGUGAAAGUUUGCGGCUCAACCGUAAAAUUGCAAUUGAUACUGGCAGUCUUGAGUACAGUUGAGGUAGGCGGAAUUCGUGGUGUAGCGGUGAAAUGCUUAGAUAUCACGAAGAACCCCGAUUGCGAAGGCAGCUUACUAAACUGUGACUGACAUUGAUGCUCGAAAGUGUGGGUAUCAAACAGGAUUAGAUACCCCUGUAGUC
rnacentral:rRNA from 1 species